rnacentral:misc_RNA from 1 species
CAACCCUCGAACCCCUCCGGGGGGUCGGCGUUGGGGAUCGGCCGUCCCUCAGCGGGUGGCCGUCCCCGAAAUACAGUGGCGGUCCCGCCGCAGCCUCCCCUGCGCAGUAGCUUGCACACUCGCACCGGGAGCGCGGCGCGUCCACAGCCGUUAAACACCCAACUUUCUGAAA